rnacentral:rRNA from 1 species
AGUGCUUGAACGCUAGAAGCUCCAGCUUGCUGGGGUGGAUGAGUGGCGAACGGGUGAGUAAUACGUGAGUAACCUGCCCUUGACUCUGGGAUAAGCCUGGGAAACCGGGUCUAAUACUGGAUACGACGUCCUACCGCAUGGUGGGGCGUGGAAAGGGUUUUACUGGUUUUGGAUGGGCUCACGGCCUAUCAGCUUGUUGGUGGGGUAAUGGCCUACCAAGGCGACGACGGGUAGCCGGCCUGAGAGGGUGACCGGCCACACUGGGACUGAGACACGGCCCAGACUCCUACGGGAGGCAGCAGUGGGGAAUAUUGCACAAUGGGCGCAAGCCUGAUGCAGCGACGCCGCGUGAGGGAUGACGGCCUUCGGGUUGUAAACCUCUUUCAGCAGGGAAGAAGCCACAAGUGACGGUACCUGCAGAAGAAGCGCCGGCUAACUACGUGCCAGCAGCCGCGGUAAUACGUAGGGCGCAAGCGUUGUCCGGAAUUAUUGGGCGUAAAGAGCUCGUAGGCGGUUUGUCGCGUCUGCUGUGAAAGCCCGGGGCUCAACCCCGGGUCUGCAGUGGGUACGGGCAGACUAGAGUGCAGUAGGGGAGACUGGAAUUCCUGGUGUAGCGGUGAAAUGCGCAGAUAUCAGGAGGAACACCGAUGGCGAAGGCAGGUCUCUGGGCUGUUACUGACGCUGAGGAGCGAAAGCAUGGGGAGCGAACAGGAUUAGA